rnacentral:rRNA from 1 species
CAGUAGCCGCGGUAAUACGAAGGGUGCAAGCGUUACUCGGAAUUACUGGGCGUAAAGCGUGCGUAGGUGGUGGUUUAAGUCCGUUGUGAAAUCCCCGGGCUCAACCUGGGAAUGGCAGUGGAUACUGGCUCGCUAGAGUGUGUCAGAGGAUGGCGGAAUUCCCGGUGUAGCGGUGAAAUGCGUAGAGAUCGGGAGGAACAUCAGUGGCGAAGGCGGCCAUCUGGGACAACACUGACGCUGAGGCGCGAAAGCGUGGGGAGCAAACAGGAUUAGAUACCCCAGUAGUCCCUGUCUCUUAUAC